CCUACGGGAGGCAGCAGUGGGGAAUAUUGCACAAUGGGGGAAACCCUGAUGCAGCGACGCCGCGUGAAGGAAGAAGUAUUUCGGUAUGUACACUUCUAUCUGCAGGGAAGAAAAUGACGGUACCUGACUAAGAUGCCCCGGCUAACUACGUGCCAGCAGCCGCGGUAAUACGUAGGGGGCAAGCGUUAUCCGGAUUUACUGGGUGUAAAGGGAGCGUAGGCGGCGAUGCAAGUCAGAAGUGAAAGCCCGGGGCUCAACGCCGGGACUGCUUUUGAAACUGUAUGGCUAGAUUGCAGGGGAGGCAAGGGGAAUUCCUGGUGUAGCGGUGAAAUGCGUAGAUAGUAGGAGGAACACCAGUGGCGAAGGCGGCUUGCUGGACUGUAAAUGACGCUGAGGCUCGAAAGCGUGGGGAGCAAACAGGAUUAGAUACCCGGGUAGUC
rnacentral:rRNA from 1 species